rnacentral:rRNA from 1 species
GACGAACGCUGGCGGCGUGCCUAAUACAUGCAAGUUGAGCGAUGAAGAUUGGUGCUUGCACCAAUUUGAAGAGCAGCGAACGGGUGAGUAACGCGUGGGGAAUCUGCCUUUGAGCGGGGGACAACAUUUGGAAACGAAUGCUAAUACCGCAUAACAACUUUAAACAUAAGUUUUAAGUUUGAAAGAUGCAAUUGCAUCACUCAAAGAUGAUCCCGCGUUGUAUUAGCUAGUUGGUGAGGUAAAGGCUCACCAAGGCGAUGAUACAUAGCCGACCUGAGAGGGUGAGCGGCCACAUUGGGACUGAGACACGGCCCAAACUCCUACGGGAGGCAGCAGUAGGGAAUCUUCGGCAAUGGACGAAAGUCUGACCGAGCAACGCCGCGUGAGUGAAGAAGGUUUUCGGAUCGUAAAACUCGGUUGGUAGAGAAGAACGUUGGUGAGAGUGGAAAGCUCAUCAAGUGACGGUAACUACCCAGAAAGGGACGGCUAACUACGUG